AUGAACGCUGGCGGCGUGCCUCAUCCAUGCAAGUCGCGCGAACGGACGAGAAGCUUGCUUCUCUGAUGUUAGCGGCGGACGGGUGAGUAACACGUGGAUAACCUACCUAUAAGACUGGGAUAACUUCGGGAAACCGGAGCUAAUACCGGAUGAUAUUUUGAACCGCAUGGUUCAAAAGUGAAAGACGGUCUUGCUGUCACUUAUAGAUGGAUCCGCGCUGCAUUAGCUAGUUGGUAAGGUAACGGCUUACCAAGGCAACGAUGCAUAGCCGACCUGAGAGGGUGAUCGGCCACACUGGAACUGAGACACGGUCCAGACUCCUACGGGAGGCAGCAGUAGGGAAUCUUCCGCAAUGGGCGAAAGCCUGACGGAGCAACGCCGCGUGAGUGAUGAAGGUCUUCGGAUCGUAAAACUCUGUUAUUAGGGAAGAACAUAUGUGUAAGUAACUGUGCACAUCUUGACGGUACCUAAUCAGAAAGCCACGGCUAACUACGUG
rnacentral:rRNA from 1 species